GAUGAAGAACGCAGCGAAAUGCGAUACGUAAUGUGAAUUGCAGAAUUCAGUGAAUCAUCGAAUCUUUGAACGCAUAUUGCGCUCUCUGGUAUUCCGGGGGGCAUGCCUGUUCGAGCGUCAUUUCACCACUCAAGCCUCGCUUGGUAUUGGGCAUCGCGGUCCGCCGCGCGCCUCAAAUCGACCGGCUGGGUCUUCUGUCCCCUAAGCGUUGUGGAAACUAUUCGCUAAAGGGUGUUCGGGAGGCUACGCCGUAAAACAACCCCAUUUCUAAGGUUGACCUCGGAUCAGGUAGGGAUACCCGCUGAACUUAAGCAUAUCAAUAAGCGGAGGA
rnacentral:misc_RNA from 1 species